GAUAAACGCUGGCGGCGUGCCUAAUACAUGCAAGUCGAGCGAACGGACGAGAAGCUUGCUUCUCUGAUGUUAGCGGCGGACGGGUGAGUAACACGUGGAUAACCUACCUAUAAGACUGGGAUAACUUCGGGAAACCGGAGCUAAUACCGGAUAAUAUUUUGAACCGCAUGGUUCAAAAGUGAAAGACGGUCUUGCUGUCACUUAUAGAUGGAUCCGCGCUGCAUUAGCUAGUUGGUAAGGUAACGGCUUACCAAGGCAACGAUGCAUAGCCGACCUGAGAGGGUGAUCGGCCACACUGGAACUGAGACACGGUCCAGACUCCUACGGGAGGCAGCAGUAGGGAAUCUUCCGCAAUGGGCGAAAGCCUGACGGAGCAACGCCGCGUGAGUGAUGAAGGUCUUCGGAUCGUAAAACUCUGUUAUUAGGGAAGAACAAAUGUGUAAGUAACUAUGCACGUCUUGACGGUACCUAAUCAGAAAGCCACGGCUAACUACGUGCCAGCAGCCGCGGUAAUACGUANGUGGCAAGCGUUAUCCGGAAUUAUUGGGCGUAAAGCGCGCGUAGGCGGUUUUUUAGUCUGAUGUGAAAGCCCACGGCUCACCCGUGGAGGGUCAUUGGAAACUGGAAAACUUGAGUGCAGAAGAGGAAAGUGGAACUCCAUGUGUAGUGGUGAAAUGCGCAGAGAUAUGGAGGAACACCAGUGGCGAAGGCGACUUUCUGGUCUGUAACUGACGCUGAUGUGCGAAAGCGUGGGGAUCAAACAGGAUUAGAUACCCUGGUAGUCCACGCCGUAAACGAUGAGUGCUAAGUGUUAGGGGGUUUCCGCCCCUUAGUGCUGCAGCUAACGCAUUAAGCACUCCGCCUGGGGAGUACGACCGCAAGGUUGAAACUCAAAGGAAUUGACGGGGACCCGCACAAGCGGUGGAGCAUGUGGUUUAAUUCGAAGCAACGCGAAGAACCUUACCAAAUCUUGACAUCCUCUGACCCCUCUAGAGAUAGAGUUUUCCCCUUCGGGGGACAGAGUGACAGGUGGUGCAUGGUUGUCGUCAGCUCGUGUCGUGAGAUGUUGGGUUAAGUCCCGCAACGAGCGCAACCCUUAAGCUUAGUUGCCAUCAUUAAGUUGGGCACUCUAAGUUGACUGCCGGUGACAAACCGGAGGAAGGUGGGGAUGACGUCAAAUCAUCAUGCCCCUUAUGAUUUGGGCUACACACGUGCUACAAUGGACAAUACAAAGGGUAGCGAAACCGCGAGGUCAAGCAAAUCCCAUAAAGUUGUUCUCAGUCCGGAUUGUAGUCUGCAACUCGACUAUAUGAAGCUGGAAUCGCUAGUAAUCGUAGAUCAGCAUGCUACGGUGAAUACGUUCCCGGGUCU
rnacentral:rRNA from 1 species